CGACUACGAGUUUGAUCCUGGCUCAGGACGAACGCUGGCGGCGUGCCUAACACAUGCAAGUCGAACGAGGUCCAUGCAGUGGCAACACUGCGGAAGACCUAGUGGCGAACGGGUGAGUAACACGUGAGGAACCUGCCCCGAAGACCGGGAUAACUCUCCGAAAGGAGCGCUAAUACCGGAUGCCCCCCACGAACCGCAUGGUUUGGUGAGGAAAUGGAUUCCGCUUCGGGAGGGCCUCGCGGCCUAUCAGCUAGUUGGUGGGGUAACGGCCCACCAAGGCAUCGACGGGUAGCUGGUCUGAGAGGACGAUCAGCCACACUGGGACUGAGACACGGCCCAGACUCCUACGGGAGGCAGCAGUGGGGAAUCUUGCGCAAUGGGCGAAAGCCUGACGCAGCAACGCCGCGUGGGGGAUGAAGGCUUUCGGGUUGUAAACCCCUUUCAGCAGGGACGAAUCAAGACGGUACCUGCAGAAGAAGCCCCGGCUAACUACGUG
rnacentral:rRNA from 1 species